GCCCCGGUGGCGGAAUCGGAAGACGCGCCGGUCUCAGAAACCGGUGCCGCAAGUCGUUGGGGUUCGCCUCCCUCCCGGGGCA
rnacentral:tRNA from 1 species